CGGUUGAUCCUGCCGGACCCGACUGCUAUUUGGGUGAGAAUAAGCCAUGCGAGUUGAAUGGGAUAUAACAUUUCCCAUGGCCAACUGCUCAGUAACACAUGAUCACCUGACCCUAUGGAGAAAAAUAACCUCGGGAAACUGAGGAUAAUGUUUCAUAGUUGAAAAGGCUUUGAAAAGUUUUUCAAUCAAAGGGAUAAAGAAAAUGGUUCUUAUCCGCCAUAGGAUAGGAUCGUGGUCGAUUAUGGUAGUUGGUGAGAUAACGGCUCACCAAGCCGAUAAUCGAUAGGGGCCGUGAGAGCGGGAGCCCCGAGAUGGGUACUGAGACAACGACCCAGGCCUUACGAGGCGCAGCAGGCGCGAAACCUCAACAAUACACGCAAGUGUGAUUGGGUUACCCAAAGUGCUCCAAAAGGAGCUGUGGUAGGUGAGUAAUGUCCCCUACUAGAAAGGAGAGGGCAAGGCUGGUGCCAGCCGCCGCGGUAAAACCAGCUCUUCAAGUGGUCGGGAUAAUUAUUGGGCUUAAAGUGUCCGUAGCCGGUUUAGUAAGUUCCUGGUAAAAUCGGGUAGCUUAACUAUCUGUAUGCUAGGAAUACUGCUAUACUAGAGGGCGGGAGAGGUCUGAGGUACUACAGGGGUAGGGGUGAAAUCUUAUAAUCCUUGUAGGACCACCAGUGGCGAAGGCGUCAGACUGGAACGCGCCUGACGGUGAGGGACGAAAGCCAGGGGAGCGAACCGGAUUAGAUACCCGGGUAGUCCUGGCCGUAAGCGAUGCAUACUAGGUGAUGGCACGGCCAUGAGCCGUGUCAGUGCCGUAGGGAAACCGUUAAGUGUGCCGCCUGGGAAGUACGGUCGCAAGGCUAAAACUUAAAGGAAUUGGCGGGGGAGCAC
rnacentral:rRNA from 1 species